CCUUCGGGUUGUAAACCACUUUUGUCAGGGAAGAAACGGCUCGUUACUAAAUAUUUAGGAGCUAAAUAGACGGUACCUGAAGAAUAAAGCACCCGGCUAACUACGUGC
rnacentral:rRNA from 1 species